CAAUAUUUGACUCUUUAAAUAUAAUAUUUAAAAUUUACACAUGCAACUAAAAUAAAAUUUUAUUUGACUCGACUAAGUUAUUUCCUAUUUUGUCUUUUUGAAAGUGAAAGUUGGUCCUCUUCUCAUUAGCAUGAGAAGAGGGUUAUGCAUUUGUAUAACAUUUGUGCAUACUUUUCUAACGUUAUCUGUGGUUUAGGUCUGUGGUGGGGUGUUUCUUUUGACAAAAGCGAAAAAGGCAAAAAGGUAGAGGGAGUAAGACAAGGUGAAUUUAUGCAUUUGUUCAGUUUCUUUUUGAGUUUUAGACAGAAAUGUUCGAAAUGUCCUCAAAUAAUUUUGAAAAUAUUUUAGAAAAUGUUGAUUCGUUUUCUGAUUCAAUUGAACUUGUUGAUACUGCUUUUUUGCAAUUGAACAACAAAAUGAAUUAAGAGAAACUGUUGUGGAUCUGAUAAAGGUGGAUAAUUCAAAAGGAGUUUAUCUGAUGGAUAAGACUUUUUUUAUAGUGAGAAAUCGUUGUCUUAAAGUUGUAGACAUAGAAUUAGUUCGAUAUAAAGAAAAUGGAAAGAGAUAUUUAGGACAACCUUCUUUCUUUUAUCUGGAUAAGGGUUUAAAAGUAAGGUUUCCUUAUUUCUGGUCAACUUUUAGUAGGAGUACCAGAUCGACAAUGGCAUCAGAAAUCAAUGUUAUUAUCGAGCAGAAUGGAGGAUAAUAAUGGAAUAAUGGAUAAUAAAUAAAUAAUAAUAAAAAAAAUAAUAAUGGUAAUAAUGGAUUGAUGCACCUUUUACUUUUAGAAAUGGGACUAGGUUUAAAAUAUUUUUACCUUCUGAAAGUGGAGAAAAAAGUGCAGUUUUAAAAAGAAUUUAUUAUUAAUUUUAUACUGGAGAUUCAUGUAAUGUUAUGCAUUCUUGUGGUGAACGAUUUUGUAAUGAAACGUGUUUUUGGUGAGUUUUUUAUAUUAUAGUAUAUUGUUUUCUUAUUAAGGGAUUAGAUUUUAGUCCUAUUAAAAGAAUUAUUAAAAUUAAUAACAAUAGUAAAAGACAUUUUAGAAAGAAUUAAUACUCUGUUAUUGAUAAUAUAAAAUUGUCAAUUAAUUUGAAUAAUGUAGGAUAAGUUUCUUUAAAAAAAUUUAGAUUUUUUAAUGUUGGUAUGUAAGAAGUGUAUUGGGUGUUUUACUUAUGCGUUGGGAAAAAUAGAGUCUGAAUUAUUUGUUUCAAUGAUACAUUCAGGUUCUAUUUGCAAAAUACCAUUAUUUCGAAUAACGUUUUGAGAUAUUCUUUUGUUAGGGCAAUGAAUGUUAAUAGGGUAAAAAUUUGAAUAAAGCCAUGCUUGAGAAUUUUCAAGAAUUUUCCAAUCAAUAUUUUCGUCUAAUUGUAAAUAUAAUGUGCAAAUGUAUGUUUGUUUAUUAAAAAAUAAAGCAAUCUCACAUAUGAAAUUUUGUAUUGUUUAUUUAAAAUCAGGCGUGUUAAGGCAAAGUUUUUCAUUUGUUGUGGUGUGACAUGAAGAAAAGUUACUUAUAUGAAAAUAUGUUUGAUUGUUUUGUAUUAAAAGCAAGAUAUUGCGUUUUAUAUUUUAUGUAUGUAGAUAUACUAGAGUUUGUAUUGAAUUUAUAAAAUGACGGAAUUGAAUGUAAUUUGUAUACAUUAUAUUGAUGUUUCGAGACAAUAGGUAUUGUAAAUGAGAAA